rnacentral:lncRNA from 1 species
CAAAAAGUACCGGUCCGAUACAAAGAUAAUUAUAGUUCUCGGGCAACCAAAAGAGUAGAAUAAUAAAUAAAUCAGACCUUCCUCUUCCCAGCCUUAAAAACCUCAACAUGCCAGUAAACGUUUCAGAUUGAUGAAAAAAUCGAUGAACCGCUCUUAAUCUGAAUAUUUCAUACCUCUUCUAGCUUCUUACUGCCCCGUGAACCUAAGUUGGGGUGAUGCCUGGUCUGUCUUUCCAGUGCCACCAGUUCUUGAAUCGUGGUCGGAGCUUCCUCCACCCACCAGGCAUCCCGUUUUCGACUGAAUCUUUCUCUAGCCAAUAGGUGAGCUAUUCAAUUUCCCCCUUUUUAUGUGUUGAAACUUAAUCAUUUCGGGCCCUAUUGAGAAUUGUUUCACAUCCCAAAGAAAAUUGCUAAUCUCUGAUCUGUCGGUGCAUGUCGCCUUCAGCUUCUUUAUCACCACCGUGGAGUCACCUUCGACCUCCAUAGACUAGAAGCCUGUUUCUUGAGCAAAUCUGAGGGCUUGGAUGCUCGCCAAGGCCUCUGCUAUCAACACAAUUACUGCAUCCCCAGCGUACCAACAUCGGAAGUGAAAAUAGUACACUAAAUAUAUGAAUUAAGGUAAUGUCCGCAAGCAGUAUAUAUAUGUUAGGUUGUAAUAUAGUUUGUUUACAACGAAAUAUUUAGUAAGUAUUUCGAGGAUCGUUCCUUAAGGAUUGUAAUUUGAGAAAAACUACUAUUAAGUCAAUUACAAAAAAUAAUUACUAGUCUACUUGAGUCACGAGUUAAUAGUGUUAAUCUGGAACCAAGAUGAUAAUAAUAGUAAUAAUAAACUAAAUGAAUUGAACUAAACCUAAAUCUCCUCCUAAGUUCAUGGAUCGACUUCUCCUAUCUUUUGUUUCGACUAUGCGAGUUCCUUUAGUUUAGAUACAAUUGUUUUACCUGUUUAAUUAUUAAUGUAGGAUUCUAAAUAGUUGGUUACUAAUUAACCUAAUAGGGUUUUUCAGCCUUCUACUAACUUAAUUAGUCGGAAAGAACUACUUACCUCUCAAUGACACAGUUCAGGUUGGGGCAGGGUAAGGUUUCCACAGAUAGACAAUGUCGAUUUCGGGUUAAUUCCCACCUAUAUGACUUCUUAAGGUCGGUAAGUUUAGGGUUUAAUUUUUUCCUUUCCUAACUACUGAUCUGCUGAGUGAUGCUUGGUAGGAAUAUCGAUUUCAGGUUCAUUCCUACCUAAAUGACUUCCAAGGAUCAUCAAUCCUAGCAUUUAAUUGCACUCAACUAUAUCUAACCAAUCUACAUUGAACUCUACCUGUCAAUCAAUUAAUUAGAUUAGUACAAUUAAAACAUGCGAAAUAUGUAUAAAGUAUAAAUUGAUUCUAAUUUUUACACAAACAUUCAUUUAACAAUGUUAAAGAAAAAAAUAUAAAGAAUAGAAUAAAGGAAAGAGAUGCUCAUGGAUUUAUCGAUGAAAGCAUAACUCCAGAACAAUAUCCGCUUGUAAAAGUCUCACUUCGAAAUAGGAUCUUCAGAUUACAAGAACAUAAUGUAAACUAAGUAAAAAUUAAGAACGAGAAUAAAAACCUAAGAAUCAUCAUUUCAAGUAAGGACGGCUAAGCAUGUUAAUUUAGGUUGUGUAGACGAAAACAUCUUUGAUUAUUAAAUUGGCCUCAUCGUAGCAAUGUCAUGACACCCUCAAGCUUGUGUCGUGACACUGUCUCGCCUGUGACGCUACAUCCUCGGUAGACUGCUCUUUCGGUAUUUUGCUUAUUGUGUUACAAUAUCCCAGCUCCGUGUUGCAACAUCGGGAGCAGUCUAUGAUCUUUUUGCCCUCGAAUGAUAUGUUGCACACUUAAUCAACAUGUUAGUAUCCCUUUUAUGCCCAAAUUGGCCUAGAAGGUCAUAAAACACAUAAAAAUGCUUCUUUUAUUCACUAGGUCCUAAAAAGGGAUACUUAAUAAAAAUUAUAUUAAUUUGCUAUAAGACUGGCACAUUAAGUAUAGAAUUGGGCCUAAUCUGCUACAACGAAUUGUGACAAAUCAAACUCUACCACAUUUAAGUCAUUGCUUGUCCUCAAGUAAUGUAAUCAUAUACUUAAAAGUAAAUAAAAAAAGACAAAAGAAAAAUAACAUGAUGACAAAAAGGAAAAAAAAAUUAGUUGCAAAUAAAAAUAUACAAAAAGAAAAAAAAUAAAAAAAAUAAAAGUUAGUAAAGAUGGAUGUAAAUAAGAACCUCAGACCUAAAGUCCCCUACACUUAACUUUUUACUUGUCCUCAAGCAAACCAAUUCUAAACAUAGUAUGUAAUAAGAAAACGCCCAUUGGAUUUUAUUACUACUAAGAACAUGAUUGUCAAAUAUUAAAGGUAUAAUGAUUCUUAUCGCACAUGCAGCUUAAUCUUGAUAGUUCAAUGCCUUGAAAACUUUUUAAAGUAAAAUUAAAUUAGUUUACAAAUUUACAUUGCUAACAACUUAGAAAUAAUUUCAUGACUAAAUGUGUAACAAUAUCACCAUUAAUAUAAAUCAAACACAUAUGUAGCAGACACAAUCAUGUGAAUAAUAAAAAUAUUCAUUAAAGUAUAAUUGUUAGCAAUUCUAGAAAGUUAUGCACAAAGAACAUUUAAGUCACAUUGGUCUUCUAGACUUCUAAUGUGCUGAGGCAUAGGACAGUAUGAGUUUAAAGGAAGACAUGGUUCAAACACUAGAAAUAGUUAGGCACAUGAAAUUGUUCCCUCUCUUCCCCCUAAGUGUCCCUUCCAAGCUCAUACAUUUUAUCUUCUUCUCCCACCUUCCUUAUCACUCCAUGUAGGAAGGCACAAUACAAUACUAGCAACUAUGGCAAGCUAAACGAGUUUUGGUGCACUGAUGACUUAUUUUUUUCUCAGUCUUGUGAAUUUUUUUUUGUCACAUGACUUUUUACUCUUUUCUCACUCACAAUUCUUCUGUUUAUGUUCUAAACUUUUUCUUCUCAUUUUUACUUUUGACUUUUUAUAGAUUUUUUUUUUGCACAUUUUUUCUUGUCCUAUAAUUACUGUAUCACAUUGUUUCUUCCUUUUUUGCUCUAAUAUUUUGAGACCACCAUGGUGUAUCUACCGAAACCCUCAAUAUCUAUGGCCUGUCGUUAUUUCGUAAUGUAUUAAAGGACCAAGGAUAGGGAAAGUUCAAAUUUUCAAUUUAUGUUUGGUUUUUGGGUUUCAAUUUCGUUGGUUCAUCAAAAAGGAGUUAUUAGACUCACAUAAGGAGACUAGGGGUUCAUAACAUUAAGGUAUGGUCAUUUGAGAACUGGCUAUUCAAAUAAUGCCUUAAGUUGUCCCUAAGCAUCCCGCCAUACAUAGCUUAUUUCAUGCUUCAAAUUAAACCAAAUAAAUAAUAAUCAAUUCAAGCAUUCAUUUUUCUACGACUAUCUAUAAGAUUUAUAUCUCACAUGGCAUCAUCAAACAUUUUUACUUAUGUGCUUCUAAUUUAUUAUGCAAUUUAACUAAGUAACCUAAUCAUUUUCCCUUAAAAAUAAUCAAAUUAUCUCAUACCAAUAAAAAAAAUUCUUGACAAAAAUCAUUACAUGAUUUAUUACGUUCAACCGUUAUUCACAACAUUAAUAGAAUCCAAGCACCAUGCAACAAAAACAAAAACUUUUUUUUUUGUAAAUAAUCAACUAAAACAAAGUAAAGACACAAAAGAUAACACAUAAAACUAAUCCUAUGUUCUUUCCCACAUACUUUAGAACAUACAUUGCCCUAAAUGUAAAAUAAUUAAAGUGCAAACAAGAAAAUUUCCUUGAGUAGGCCAAACCCUUAUUGUUAUGAUAAUCUUAGAAUUUGUGUGCUCCAAGCAGAUGUAAAAGUAUCUAUAAGAAUUCUACGAAAAAAAAAACUAUAAAGUAUAAUGUAAAGAAAAUAAAAAUAAAUAUAAGAAGAUGAAGAAGUGUUGAUAAUAAAUAAUAUAACAUCUAAAUAAAAGAAUUUAGAUAAACUUGACCUUUUAAUGUUGCGGUGUGGUGUUCUAUCUUGGAUGUCGUGUAACACCCCAAAAAUGAGUCUAGAAAUUUCGAGGGUAUUUUAGGAAUUCUAGCCUAUAUGUGUUUGAAAUUUUGUAAGUUUGGUAACCGAUGAUGUUUUCGACAAUAACUACUAGGAAAUUAAGUCAAUUUCUGAAAAUGAGUAUUAAAUACCUUUAAUUUUGAAAAUAAGACUGAAUUGUAAAAGAGUCAAAACUAAGAGUUUGGUUGUAAAUGAUAAAUUUCAGAUUGUGGAUUAAAAUGUGGUUUGAAAGUGUUUUUCAACUUGUUUUAACAUGAUUAGAAGACUUUUAAAUUUAUUUUGAAGUUUUGUUAAAAAUUUCUCAAGUUUUAAUGAAUUUUCAUCAUAAUAGCCAAAACUUGUCAAAAAAUGUCGAUACCAUGAACUGAGUAGUUUUGUAUAGUUUAAAAGUUGAGAACUAGUAAUAGAUGACUAUGUAGAGAAUGGAAUUCAUUUUCUACGAAAAGAUUAAGUGUAGGCCGAGAUAUUCGAAUUUAAAGUUUCUAUGUCGAAGGUUGUGGUGAAAAGAGAACGUAGCUUAGGCUAUUGUUUUUUACUGUUUAUGAUGAGUCAAUGACUGGUUGUUAAUUUUAUAUUUGUGUGGUUUGUCUUGUUGAAGUAUCGGAGUCAAUAGGACCUUCAACGUAUAGAAAACAAAAGCUUGCUUGAGCUUUCAAUUUUUCGAUGAAAGCAUAUUUCUGGUGAGUGUUUUGGAAUCACUACUCAUAGAUGAUUCAUUGUGUAAUUGGGAAUUUAGAGGUUAGCCUAAACUUCUACUUUAAAUUCCAAGUGUAAGUGUUCUCACACCUAUGAUUAAAUGUGAUAUAUGUGUGCUUGUGCAAUUGUGAAAAUAUGAACAUAUAUAAUAUGCUAUGACAUGUGCCAUAAGCUUGUGAUAACUAUUGUGAAAGAGAAUAUGUCGGUAUGUUAUUCAUGUCAUGUGAUAAUAAAAAUAUGGGUGUCCUUUGAUACCAUGUGAUAUUGAUUAAAAUGUGCUAACGAUGUGAAUAUACAAUGAAUAUGUGAAAUAAAUUUGUAAGUAAAUACGUAAUGAUAAUAUGGAUAUUUUGGCCUUAUGAUUUUAUGAGAUCGUUGGAUACAGUUGGUAUGUCAUAUGAUUGUGAGUACUCACCUUUGUGAUGUGAUUUUGGGGCAUUGAGACCCAAAUACAAUUUUCAAAGAGAUAAGUGAAUAUGAGUUAAGCUCUAUUCACCGAUAUAUGUGUGUUUGGUGUGUUGGAGAGUGUUAGCUAUAUGCUUCAUUUAUGGGACAUGAUCGAAUCUAUGAGUCAUUUUGGUGUGUUAGAGCUCCGUGUAUCUAAUGUGUAAUGAUAGAGUCCACAUUAUGUUUCAUAACCUCAAGAGCAAAACUAUCAUAAAAUGUGACUGAAUGUGAUUAAAUGUGAUUUAUAUAUGUUGUGAUAUAUACUUUAAUAAUAAUGUGGUUAAUGUAAUAAAUGUGUAAUAGUAUAAAUAGAAGAUAAUUAAACGAGUGAAAAAUGAUAUUAAAGUUAAAUAUGUUAUGAAUAUGUGACAUGUUUGCUUAGUCGAUGCAUAAUGAAUUGUUUGCAUAGUGGUUGUUCUGGGCAUUCACUAAGCUUGUUAAACUCACCUACUCAUUUUAAACCAUAAAAUAUAAGCAUUGCUGGUAUGAGCUGUGUGGUCUCAAAGGGUGAUCCAAGCUAGAAAUUUUAGUUGCUAUUACUAGGUGUUAUUUGAAUAUUUUUGUUUUGGGCAUAAAAAGGCAAUGUAGUAGAUGUUACGUUGGCUUUGCUAUGAUUUUUGGUUGUUUUCAUACCUAUUGUGCUUAGGAACUUUGGGGACUUUAAAUAUGAUGUUUGGGAUUGUUAUUUGAGACAUUUAGAUGUUUAUUUUAUGAGACAAUUGAUGCAUGAUGUUUUGAUCUAGUUUGGAAUGAUCUAUGUAAUGAUAUAUGUUAUGUUUCCAUUGUUUGGAAUAGAUGUAUCGAUAUUCAGGUUUUAAAAACAAUGCCUCUGCAAUUUUUAAAGUGCAAGAAAUCAGUUUCGCUAGUUGGUUUUAAAUUUUUGGCCACAAGUAUUGAUACUCGAGGUAAAAUUAUCGAUACUUUUUCAGUGGUACUGAUAUUUUCUGAAAUUUGGAUUUUUAAGACGAGAAACAGUAAGCUAAUUUGGCAUUGAUUUUCCAAGAGGUAACGAUACCACUUGAGAGAAUUAUUGAUACCACACUACCAAUUUCGAUACCUACGUAACAUAUUUGGGAAAUUUUGCUAAGUGCUAAUGCAUGUUGAAUACCUAUUUUAUGAUUAUUCAAUGAAUGUUUAGCAUGAUCCAACUUCCUUAGAGUGUGAAUGACUUAUGUUUCAUAUGAAUGCUAUUAUAUUAAAAAAAUGAUGCAUGUAUAAUAAUGUGACGAUUGUGAUAAAUACAAGUGGGAGAUAGUGGUGUAGCGUCCUAGUAUUCGGGCUCGGUGACCAGGCUGGGUAUAGGGCGUUACAUUUGGUAGUAUCAAAACCUAGGUUCAAUAACACUCAAACUUAGGUGAUUGUUGUUGAUAUGCUGAUUGGGGUUUCGCAACCCAUUGAUCUAGAAAUCCAAGUGAUUAAAUUAUUCUGAUUGCUUGAAUUGUAUAAGAUAUCUCUUGUUUGUAAUGUAUGUGUGGUAAGAAUGGGAAUACAUUGCCUUUAAUCCUAAAUUUUGCUUGCAGGAAUGAGACUUGGAUAUUUUCAAGUGAAGAAAGAUUACACCCAAGAAAGUGCACACUUAAGAAGAGUAUGCCCUAGAGUUUUGUUUGAGCACUAAGAGCUUGUCGAGUGUAUGAGGAAGUUCUAGGAAACUUAAUUGUCUUAAAGACUGUGCUGAACGUGAAACAUUACCAAAACAUAGUGGAUCUUUUAUCAGGUUUAGUUAGGAGUUGUUAGGAUUCUACAACAAUAGAAACAAAGAUCGAAGUAAAGAGCACAAUAGUAAGAUAUAUGAAAGAUUGUCUGUACACUAAAACAAGCCAACUAAACAAAUCAUCAUAGCAGUAUGGUUGGUCACUUAUGAACAAGAGUCAAUUGGAUUGAUUUGACCCUCCUUAUGACUAGUUAACAGUAAGUUAAACCUUUUUUGGAUUUGGUAGGGAAAUUAGGGGGACCUAGAUUAUAUUUAUAGGAAUGGGAUAUUUUGGAUGGUUUUCCUAUCUUCUUAAUGUUCAAGUUCUUCUUUCUAACCUCAACAUUUUAUUUUUCUUCUUCGUUAAGAUUAAACUAAGAUCUCAUUUAAUGAGUAUAUGAUUCAACCUUCUAAUAAGUCUUAAAACUUUGCACGUUACGAUUAUAGAAUGGAAAGGUAUUACAGGAAGACCCUACUUGUGGGUCACAUGUAGUUGAAAUUGUAAGGACUUAAAAGUUAGUGGAGUCAAAAAUGAUGGUUUCGGAAUGUCAUUUUUUAAUGAUAGAGUUUGUGAAUACUAUUUAUUAAUAUUUACGAGGGUAUUACAAUAUUAUAUUGAGGUUUGGUCUAAUAAUUUUAAUUAUUUGGAAAGUUAGACAAUGUACAAGUGUAUUGGUUCUAAAGUCAAUAGUUUUGGAAAUUGCGGUAUCAGUACUUUGUUUCUGUAAACUGAACUCGUAAAUAUUUAUAAAUAUUUAUGGAGUUAUACUAGAGGCGAAUUGAGUCUCGGUUAGGUAAUUUCGUAGAAUUAGUGUUUAAUUUAAGUACAGGGACUAAAUCGCGUAAGCGAUAACGUGUGAUUUACUAAAGAAUUUUAAUUAAAACUUAUUAAAGGGGACUUAAAAGGUAAUUAUACCAAUAGAUUAAUAAUGGAUGACUAUGUGGCUGUUUAAAAUGAUGAAUUGUGUUAUAAAUGUUAAUAAUAAAAAUAAUAAUAAAUGAAAUGAAAUUAAACAUAUUUUAAUUAAUAAAAUAAACUAGUGGAAUAAAUGAAAGACAUUUUCAUAUGUUCUUUCAUGCAAAAUUGAAAAGGAGAAGAACAGAAAAGGGAAGAAUGACAAUAUGGCUUAAAAUUUUCAACUUCAAAUUGGUUAGUGUAAUUUAGCCAUUUUCUCGUCAUUUUUAUGUUUUUGAAAUCCCAACACCAUAAACUAGCAGACCCAUGUUGAAUUUUUUAGGACUAUUAAAGCUUUUAGAUGUUACUAUUGUUGAGUAGUUAAAGCUUUAGGGAUUUAGUUGAUAGAUUUUUAGGUUAGAAAUGAAAGAUGACUAAAUUGUGAAGUUAACUGUUGACUUUGAGCAAUAGGGACCAAAUUGUGAAAGUUUCAAAAUUUAGGGGUAGUAAUGAGAAUUAUGGAAUUAAAUUUGACUUAGAGUGAAUUUUACCUUAAAAUUUAGGGUUAAAUGUGGAAGUUAAGUUAGUUCCGGCUUUAGGGGCUAAAUUGAAUAAAGUGUAAAAGUUGUAUAAUUUAGAAAUUAAAUGUGAAAUUAUUUGUGUAUUAAUGAUAUGUAUGGUUUAUUAUUUUCGUAUCUAUUGUCAACUCAAAUUCCUCAAAAAAUAAGGAAAAAGGCAAAGUAGUUGAUGAAUAGAUUAGAGGUUAUGGUUUGUGUUUCUAUAAUCUAAACUAUUUUAGAACGUUGCUUUUAUACAUUGCAUUAUUUGGUAAGUAUAUAUGUAUAUAUAAGGAGAGUUAUUCCUCUGAAAUAAUUUCAUGAGAUGUGGAUUUGAUAUGAAAAUAAGAUGGUUGGAUCUACAUGUCCGAGUCCGAGCCACGUUAAUAGAGGAAGUAAAUGGUAAACUAGAGAUAACUGUAACACCCUAGAACUCGGCGUAUAAGUUUAGACCAAAUCCCAGAGGUUACAUUGACCAUCGAAGUGAUCUAAAAGCGAUUUUACAAAAAACGAAUUGUUAGUAUCUCGUUUCGAACAUGGUUUGCUAAAUUUGAACUAAACCACUUAACCAUUUAAGAUUCAAAAUAGAAAGUUAAGUUACGUUAAAAAUGUUUGAAAAUAUAAUUCCGUAGUUUCUAAAAUUCAGUCCAAAAUAAAAAUUUACGAAAAUCCAGAAAUAAAACUUAAAUCAUAGUCCCUAUUAACACGUAUAGUCCAAAACAAUUCGAAAACUAAAAAAAAACUAAAAUGAAACAUUUUAUUUUAUAAAAUUAAAUCUUAUUCGUCUGAAACCUACGAUCACCUAGUCCAGCUCCAGAACAUGAGAGAACCUGAAAGGGAAAAACUAAGGGGUGAGCUACACGAGCUCAGUGUGAGUUUGAAACGUAAAUAAAAGACAAAUGAUGAAAUUUCAUAAACACCUAUAUUUCAGUUAAGAAUACACGAGCAAUGUAUGAAAAUCUUACACUGGAAGUCAGACACACGAACCAUUUCCAUAAGUCAUUCAUAGAGACAAACACUCUACUCUAUACACAUCGAAGUACUAAACACAUCAGAUUAUUAUAACGCAACAAUUUGAGGCUUUCACAAUAAAAAAUAAGCAUGAUGUUCCAACAAAUUUUUGUCAAACGAAUUUCAAUGAUACAGUAAAUGUAAUGAAUACAAAACCCACCCAAACCAUCCGAACACCACUUCAACCACCCUGCAUACCACUUAUGAGCUAUAUCAAAGCCCAUCCACCCUACACACUACGUAGGACCAUGUUAGGUCUAUCCACCCUACACACUAUAAAUGGUGGAACUAAGCCACUCUGAUAACAAUAUGCAGUUAAGCUGACAUAUGUUUCUUGUGAACAUACUGCUGUACAGAAAUAUUGUAGUUAAACUGCUCAAACAGAAUCCCUUUUCUUCACAACAAAAAUCCCAUAAUUUUUAUGCAAAUGCAAAAUGCACACUAUUUGUAGAUAAACAUAAAGAAACGGAUGGCAGAAUUAGAAAUACUCUUACUCAAUUACACAUGCUCAGUAUCAGAUUAACUAGAUUCUAUCAUUAGAUAGUGUUUCAAUUCAUGAAUCACAUUACAAACAUAAAUCACAUUACAAACACAUUUGAACAAACCGUAAAAUUAACGCUAUAGAUACGAAUAAUCGCAUGACUCUAAGCAGUAACAGAGUCCCAAACACUUAUAUGGAGGCCUCAACGGAUGUUAAAUGACACAAGAAUUGGAACGGGUCAAUUAACAUCACAAAACAAAAAUAUGUGAAACAGGGUCACACGAGCUGUGUGGAAAAUACCUAGGCUGUGUAGAGGUCUACACGCCUAUGUGGUGGUCUACACACCUGUAACACCCCUAACCCAUAUCCAUCGCCGGAAUAGGGUUGCGGACCAUUACUGAACUUAAUACUUAAACAAACAUACAUUUUUCAUAUCCAAAUAAAAGUCAUUCACAAUCAAUCAUAUUGUCCCUAAUACUAGCCCUCGAGGCCUAAAACAAACAUUAAAAGUGGUUAGGGACUAAACUAAGAACUUAGUGAAAUUUUGGAAAAAAAAUAGAAAACUUUCAAAGUAUAGGGGACACACGCUCAUGUGGCCAAGCUAUGUGUCUCACACGACCAAAAACACGCCCGUGUCACAGGUCGUGUUGACAUUCCAAAUGGGAUCAUAUGGCCGUGUCCCAACCCGUGUCUGACCCUAUGUAAAUCACUGACUUGAGUUCCACGGCCAACCACACGCCCGUGUGACUAGCCCGUGUACUUUUCGAAAAUGGCCUACACACUCGUGUAUCAGGCCGUGCAAAAAUUGGAAGGUAUAUUGACUUAUGCCACACGGCCAAACCACAUGCCCAUGUGCUAAGCCUUGUGAAGCUACUGACUUAAUUUCUAAAUAAGUACCAGGAUACACACGACCGCGUCACCUUGUCAUGUGUCACACAUGAUCGAGAAACACGCUCAUGUGGACAAAAAUAGGCUAUGUUUCAAGCUACAUUUCUCACCCAAAAAUGAUGUCAACCUAGGUUCAACAAUGCACAAACAACCAAAUGCAUAAAUAGGCACUUAUAACCAACCAAUUUCAAGCCAAAAUCAUAUACUACCCAUACCAACAACCAAGAUGCUCAUAAGCAUCCCAAAUAGCCAUUCAAAUUCAUACCAAUUUCAUAUCCAAAAAUCACCUAAAUGAUCAAACUCACCUAUUAGACUUAGUGCCUAAAUCUACAUGCAUACCUCAUUCUCAAAUUUAAUCAUUUUGUACUCAAAAUACCAAUUCACAACAAGGUAUUCACAUAGCAAUUAUAAACCAAAUAUUAAAAGCCAUUCACUCAUAUAUACAUAACCAAGUAUACCAAAAUAAGCCAAAUCACAUGGUUAUACACAUAACCAAAACAUACAUGUAACAUCCCGAAUUAGGGCCUAGUCAGAACAGUAGUUUUGAGACCAUAAAUUCAAAAUAGAAAUAAAUAUUUUAUGAUUAUUACGAGGUUUAUGAUAUGAUCCAUGCUUGUGUGAAAAUUCUAUGAAGAAAUUUUAUAAGUAAAGUGUCCAAUUUGACUUUAGGGACUAAAUUGAAUAAGUGGCAAAGUACGUGUUUCUAGAAGCUUUUAGUAUGAAAUAGCUUUGGAUUAUUAAUUAGAGAUUCUUAAAUAUCAAUUUUCCCAAUUUCUAUUUUUAUGGACAAAAAUGAGAAUGCAUGGAUAAAAUUUGAAAGUUUAGUAAAAAGGGAAUUUUGGUCAUUUGGUUAAUAAAAUAAUAAAAAGGGAAAAAUCAAGUAAAAUUUGCUCAUCUUCUCUAUGCCAUAGCCGAAAUUCUCAAACUCUUCAUAACUAGGGUUUUUUAACUUUUCAAGCUUGAUUGUAAGUGUUCCCUAACCCCUUUUUUAUGUUCUUUGCAUUUUUGAAGUCAUUGAAGCAUGAUCUAUCCAUUUCUAGCCAUACUUUGAGCUAGAGUUUAUGUAUGAAAUUUGAACCAUGUAUGACAUGUUUGUAUUUUAAUGUUUUAUGGAAGAAUAUGAAAGUUUGAUGUGUGUUUAACAUCUUUUACUAAGUGAUUUUGAUAGAAAUUCAUGGAAAUGACUUGUUUGUAAAAAGGUAUAAAAAUGAGUAGUAAAAUGUAAAAUAAAGGAAAAUGUGAGCUGAUAUGAGCAUGGAAUAGGUUCAGCUAGGCUUGGGUAACAAGGAAAAUGAACACAUUUCAUUUUACGAGCCUAGGGACUAAUUUGUAAAUAUGUGAAAGUUUAGGGGUAAAACUAUAAUUUUGCCUAAAUAUAGUUUUUGGACUGAUUUGAAUAAUGUGAUAAUUAAAUGAGCUAAAAUUUCUAUUAUAGAUCAAGAAAAACGGAGUCCGAACCUAGACAGGGGAAAGAACAAGAUUUUGGACUAAAUCGAAUUAAUUGUCCAUAUUUUGUACGGAGGUAAGUUCAUGUGUAAAUAAUGCAAUGUUGUAUCAAGUUUUAAUGCUUUAUUAUUGUAUUAAUUUCUAUGUUUAAUUGUUAUGAUGAGUUUAUGAAUGACAUAAUGGUCAAUGAGAACGACUUUGUGAACAAGUUCGAUGAAUAUGUGAUAUCGAGAAAAAUCUCGUUUGAACAUUAGGAAUAAUUUAAGAUAUAAUGUGACAUGUCACUAGGAAAUAUCUGAUUAUGAGCUCAUGAUAUGAUGUGUAUAUGUGACUAUGUGAAUUCGGGUGCUAGUCUUGUAUGUUCUACCGGUGGCUAGGUAGCCUAGCAAAUGUUGCGGGUACUUGUCAACUUGUGUGAGCAGCCCGAGUAGUUACGUCCUAACUGUCAGCUUGUGUGAGCAAGCCCGUGAUUAGCUCAAGAGCGAGCAAUGUGUGAUUGUGAUAUGUGGUAGCAUGUGGCUACGUUUGAAGCACUAUAUGCAAGUCUUCCGUGUAUCCGAUAGUAUUCUAAGUGUUCAAAGGGUAAACCUGUGAGUUAUUCGACAAGUAAGUCAAUGAUGAGGAAAUGUGACAAUGUGUUACGAUUUGGUACAAGUAUGUACGAAAAAAUUAUAUGAAUGAGCUCGGUAUGUGAUGAACUUUGGGUAAGAUUGAAAUUAUGUAAGUUAAGCCUAUGAAUUUAUGAUAACACAUAAGUAAACUAUGUUAUGUCAUUGGUAUUAUAUAUAUACUAUUAUGUUGCUAUUUAUAUGCAUGUGAACUUACUAAGCUUUAUGCUUACUCCCCUCUCUUUUCCAUUUUCUUAUAGUAUCACCAAGCUUGCUCAAGGAUCGAAGGACGUCGUAGGCUCGAUCACACUAUCAAUUGGAUAUUUGGGUAUAGUUUGUUUCAACAUUUUGAGUAUGGCAUGUAUAGGGACUUGGUCUAUUUGUUAUGUGUCAUAUUGAUUAGUCAAAUGUGUUGGCUCAUGAAGGUAUUACGAUUAUUUUGUAUAUGGCCAUGAGAGGUGGCUCGUAUUGAUUAUUAGGUUGUAACCCUAACUAUUGGUAUAUGCAUGCAAAUGUGCUUAGGCUUUAACGUGGUUAUGGUUGCUUAUGGCUAAUGAAUGUGAUGGAUGGC